AUUGAACGCUGGCGGCAGGCCUAACACAUGCAAGUCGAGCGGAUGAAGGGAGCUUGCUCCUGGAUUCAGCGGCGGACGGGUGAGUAAUGCCUAGGAAUCUGCCUGGCAGUGGGGGAUAACGUCCGGAAACGGGCGCUAAUACCGCAUACGUCCUGAUGGAGAAAGUGGGGGAUCUUCGGACCUCACGCUAUCAGAUGAGCCUAGGUCGGAUUAGCUAGUUGGUGGGGUAAAGGCCUACCAAGGCGACGAUCCGUAACUGGUCUGAGAGGAUGAUCAGUCACACUGGAACUGAGACACGGUCCAGACUCCUACGGGAGGCAGCAGUGGGGAAUAUUGGACAAUGGGCGAAAGCCUGAUCCAGCCAUGCCGCGUGUGUGAAGAAGGUCUUCGGAUUGUAAAGCACUUUAAGUUGGGAGGAAGGGCAGUAAGUUAAUACCUUGCUGUUUUGACGUUACCAACAGAAUAAGCACCGGCUAACUUCGUG
rnacentral:rRNA from 1 species